CAACCCCUCGGGCCCUAGUGCCCGGCGUCGGGGCCUUUCCCUCACGGGAAGCCCCUAGAGACAGUGGCGGACCCGCCGCGGCUCCGAGCGCAGUAGUAACUUCUCGCUUAGGAGGCCCGUAGCAGGCUCCCGGCCGUAAAACCCCCCAAUAUCUCAA
rnacentral:misc_RNA from 1 species